rnacentral:tRNA from 1 species
GGGGACGGAUAGGCCCUGGUGGGUCUCACGGACUUCAACUCCGUUGUCGGGUGGCUCGACCAUCCGAGGUGGGUUCAAUUCCUACACGCUCCCGCCA